rnacentral:rRNA from 1 species
UACGUAGGGGGCUAGCGUUGUCCGGAAUCAUUGGGCGUAAAGCGCGUGUAGGCGGUCCGGUAAGUCCGCUGUGAAAGUCGGGGGGUCAACCCUCGGAUGCCGGUGGAUACUGUCGGGCUUGAGUACGGAAGGGGCGAGUGGAAUUCCUGGUGUAGCGGUGAAAUGCGCAGAUAUCAGGAGGAACACCAAUUGCGAAGGCAGCUCGCUGGGACGUUACUGACGCUGAGACGCGAAAGCGUGGGGAGCAAACAGG